rnacentral:rRNA from 1 species
CCUACGGGGGGCAGCAGUGAGGAAUAUUGGUCAAUGGGCGGAAGCCUGAACCAGCCAAGUCGCGUGAGGGAAUAAUGCCCUACGGGUCGUAAACCUCUUUUGCCGGGGAGCAAGGGCCGGGACGCGUCCCGUCCCGUAUAGUACCCGGAGAAAAGGCAUCGGCGAACUCCGUGCCAGCAGCCGCGGUAUUACGGAGGAUGCGAGCGUUACCCGGAUUUAUUGGGUUUAAAGGGUGCGUAGGCGGGCUUUUAAGUCAGCGGUAAAAAUGCGGGGCUCAACCCCGUCCGGCCGUUGAAACUGGGGGCCUUGAGUGGGCGAGAAGAAGGCGGAAUGCGUGGUGUAGCGGUGAAAUGCAUAGAGAUCAUGCAGAACCCCGAUUGCGAAGGCAGCCUUCCGGCGCCCUACUGACGCUGAGGCACGAAAGUGCGGGGAUCGAACAGGAUUAGAUACCCCGGUAGUC